rnacentral:lncRNA from 1 species
AUGGCUGGAGAGCCCGGGCCGGGCCCUGCGCACCCGGGCCUCAAGCGGCCUCAGGGCACUGCCAGCCCCUGUACGAGUGAUUAUGACCUGGACCAUAAGCUGUACAGGGAAAAUGUCCCCUACAGUAGGGUGUAUGAAUACCAAAGGAUCCCUCCACUCAUCAACCGCGUGCCUGUCAGGAUCCGGAGGACCCAGGUGGGCAUGGGGGUCAAAAGCAGCUUCCGUCUUCACACGGGCCCCAGGAAGAGCCACCUGCCCCGGGAGCAAAUAAAGCUCCCGACUGAGGAGCUGCACUCCAUCAGGGGGGAGCUGAGUCAGAUCAAAGCCCAAGUGGACCGUCUAUUGGAGAAUCUGGAGCACAUGGGCCAGCAGAGGGACCAGCUUCCAACUGGGGGCCCGGGACACACUCCCAGGUCAGAGGACAGUGAAGAAAACAGAGGUCCAGAACUCCAGCAGGAGCCCCAGGGCCAGAAGGCCCAUCCAGAAGCAGACAGCUCUGAGGACAGCACAGACCCAAAGGAGGCAGUGAAGAAUCCUGCAUCGGACCAGGAGGGCAGCCAGUAGAAUGGUGGAACCCCUCUGGGCUCCUUCCUGGAUGGCUCCCUUCCUUGCCUCGUGUGGGUUUUUGAAGGCCUCCUGGAGGUGCCUGUGCAGCCCGAAGCCACCCUUCUGGAAGGAGUGCAGUGAAGUGGGGGCCUGGCUCAGCCAAACUAGCCAUGAAGCUUCUCCGUAAUGGUGGCUUUUGGAGGUCACGUUUUCCGAUGAUACGGGCUGAGGGUGGCCUGCAGCUGCCUAGCAUAAGCCUCCCAUCCUCAUGAAGCUGAGGCCGUCUUGCAAGGGGCCCCAGGUCCCCCUGGGUACACAUCAGCCCCCAGUGACCACAGGUACCGUAGUGGCUGCUCCCCACUCCGAAGGGCCCUGCCAGUUCUGAGUAGGCAGCCAGCACAGUUCCCUCCAGCCACAGUGGCAUACCGGAAACCCUCAUGUUCCUACGGUCCCCCUUCCAGUCUGCACCUGGGCUUUCAGCUCCUCAGUGUGCCCCACAUAAUCCCCUUUGGUUCCAGACUCCCCAUCCACCCUGUAAAGCCAUCCUUCAGAAUAGGGACAUCAUUUUUAUGUUCUGCUCCUGUCUAGUCUCUUGCUAGUGUGAUACUAUGUGUUUCAGAUCUGCUCUGGAAAUAGUAUUGUAUCAAAAGGGAGAAAAUGCACAACAUUUUCCCCCCUUUUGGGGGUCAGGGGUUCUUGGUAGGGUCAUCAAGCCUCAUUCUGGUCUUUGGGCUGCCUCAGGCCAGGCCUUCCUGGAGAAGCUGAGCAGGCCCCUGCAUCACAGAAGUUCAGCAGUUCCUACUCAGCCAGGGCACAGAAGAGGGGACCAGGCUUCCCUGCCUUCUUCCAAUUCAGACCUGAGCACAAACCCACAGAGCUCAUGAGCCACAUAGGGAAGAUCCUGCUCUUGUGGUCACUCAGGCCAGUUCUCCAUAUGGAAUGAUGGCCAGGCCACAUCUGACUUCCCAACAACCAGCAGCUCUUACUCCUGGAAGUUCAUCUGCCCUUUCCCAGGAGGCAAGACUGGACCAGGGGCACCAAAUAAUAAAGCCAACCUGGUGCAGCACCUGGGCUCAGUCGGUUAGGCAUCAGAUUCUGAUUUUGGCUCAGGUCAUGAUCUCAGGAUCAUGAGAUCAAGCCCAGCAUCAGGCUCUGCGCUCAACAUGGAGUCUGUGUGGAAUUUUCUCUCUUCUUCCCCACUGUCAACCCCCUUGCAUGCCUCUAAAUUAAAAAAAAAAAAAAAAGGCAGCCUGGACCCCUACUUCUUAGCAGCAGUGGGGGAGGCCUCUAGCUUCCACCCAGAGCCAAACCCCUUCCACCUACCCAAACCUGAGCUGUGGUCUUGCCCAGCACCAAACCAGAGGCCACAGAGUACACCCAGAGUGCUCCUGGGCCCACACAACCUUCCCUACUGUUGUCACCUUGGCAAUGGCCAACUCUGCUACUCUAGGGGCACCUUCACCUCCUUCAAAGCACAUUUCCCCACACCAACUCCUGCACCUCCUUUAGUUUCAGCCAGUCUUUUCUGCUUAUGUUGGUCUAAGGAACAGGACACAUUUAAGACAAUGCUGUCCCCAACCCCUUGACACCAGGAGUCGACUACAGGGCACAAAAGAACCUUGUUCUUUUAAAUUCACUACCGAGAUGAACCACGAUAGACUUUUCCAGAUAUAAAGGAGUUUGUUUUAGCUCAGAUGUAAAUGAGAAGGCACAGCCCCCUUGUCCAUUCUCUCAAAAGCAGCCCAAGUCUAUAGAAGGGAGUCACUAGCUGGCCUGCACAGGGUCCAUCCCUUACAACAGUUCCAAGUCCCGUCCUCCAGAUGAGUCCAGCUGAAGUCCUUCCCAACCUGGGAGGCAAGCUGCAUUCGCAAGUUUCUUCACCUGGGUCGUAGCUGGGAAGCACCUGCUCAAGUAGAAACGUUUCUUUAACAGAAGUCUCUAAAGAGCCGUCCCAACACAGCCGUCCGGCGCUGUGCACGCCCCGUCGGAUCCUCUCCCGCCCGGAGUUCUCCGCGCCGCGCAGUCUGGCAGCGGACGGCAAGGGUCCUUCGGGGGACGGGGGCAGCUCGGUCCUCGGCGUCCG